UGGCUUCUAGUUUCUUCCAUGGUGUUGUCAGUGAUGAUCUUAUGUUGCAGAAUUAAUGCCCUUUGUGGGUGGGAUUAUAAAGUUUACAGACAAAAAUAUUGUUGUUUCUUUUCUUGCCUUGUUAUUUGCUUGAUUACUUUUAAUUAAAUGAUUUAUCCCUUGGGUCCUCUCCAGGCGAUGUAUAAUUAAAGACUUCUGUACAUUGAGAGGAGUACUCAUUUGAUAUAUAAAGGUGUUGAAAGAUACUUAUGAAGGGGCAGUUAAUGUUUGAAUGGUUGGAAUUAACAUUAAAGAUUUUCCUAUCAUAGUUAGAUUGUACUUAGGAAUGACCUGGAGCCCUUAUCUUCUUUCCUCUGGUAAUAGAGGAUUGACAAAGAAAUCUAAGUGAAUGAUUGGUGGUGAAUGUUGGGUGUUGGAGUUGGACACAAUAUGCACACAAGAUUACAGUGAUAGAUAGAUGUAUGGAAUAUAAAGAUGGACUGGAAUGGAAUGAAUGUGUUUGCAGGGUGGUGUUGUUGCCUGCUGUUACCAUCUAAAGAUUGUUUGGUUUACUCGAGUGCCAUCCAUUUGUCGUGAUAUUGUUUGAAUUUUGUUUGGAUUAUUUUUCCAAAUACAAAUAAUAUCACUAGCUCAAAUGCACACAUAUGCAGCAACUUUUAAAUAAGUGAAAUAACUUUUAACAUUUUGCAUGGAUUUAUCUUGGAAUGAUGAAUUAUCUAUUUUGACCCUGUGCUCUGAAUUUUUAGCAUCUCUUGUGAUUAGUCUUAGAUGCUAUUGUUUGGUCAAUGCUAUGUGGACAUCCUUGUAAAUUAUUCUUGUUAAUAUACCUUUGAAAUUGUUCUACUAUA
rnacentral:misc_RNA from 1 species